rnacentral:rRNA from 1 species
AGUCAAGAGGAGCUUGCUUUUCUUGACUUAGUGGCGAACGGGUGAGUAACGCGUGAGUAACCUGCCCUGGAGUGGGGGAUAACAGUUGGAAACGGCUGCUAAUACCGCAUAAGCGCACAGGGUCGCAUGACCUGGUGUGAAAAACUCCGGUGGUAUGAGAUGAACAUGCGUUCCAUUAGCUAGAUGGUGGGGUAACGGCCCACCAUGGCGACGAUCAGUAGCCGGACUGAGAGGAAGGUCCCCACAUUGGAACUGAGACACGGUCCAAACUCC